rnacentral:rRNA from 1 species
GUGAAGCGGCAAGAGCUCAAAUUUGAAAUCUGGCCUCCUUUGGGGGUCCGAGUUGUAAUUUGUAGAGGAUGCUUCGGGUGUGGCCGCCGUCUAAGUUCCUUGGAACAGGACGUCAGAGAGGGUGAGAAUCCCGUCUUGGACGGCCGGUCCGCGCCCGUGUGAAGCUCCUUCGACGAGUCGAGUUGUUUGGGAAUGCAGCUCUAAGCGGGUGGUAAAUUUCAUCUAAAGCUAAAUAUUGGCCGGAGACCGAUAGCGCACAAGUAGAGUGAUCGAAAGGUUAAAAGCACCUUGAAAAGGGAGUUAAACAGCACGUGAAAUUGUUGAAAGGGAAGCGCUUGCGGCCAGACUCGGGGGCGGGGUUCAGCGGGCGCUCGUCGCCCGUGCACUCCCCGUUCCCCGGGCCAGCAUCAGUUUCGACGGCCGGUCAAAGGCCCCCGGAAUGUGUCGUCUCUCGGGACGUCUUAUAGCCGGGGGUGCAAUGCGGCCCGCCGGGACUGAGGAACGCGCUUCGGCUCGGAUGCUGGCGUAAUGGCCGUAAGCGGCCCGUCUUGAAACACGGACCAAGGAGUCUAACAUCCACGCGAGUGUUCGGGUGUCAAACCCGUGCGCGCAGUGAAAGCGAACGGAGGUGGGAGCCUUAGGGCGCACCAUCGACCGAUCCUGAAGUCUUCGGAUGGAUUUGAGUAGGAGCGUGGCCGUUGGGACCCGAAAGAUGGUGAACUAUGCCUGAAUAGGGUGAAGCCAGAGGAAACUCUGGUGGAGGCUCGCAGCGGUUUCUGACGUGCAAAUCGAUUCGUCAAAAUUUGGGCAGA